rnacentral:lncRNA from 1 species
CACAAGAAAUUCUACUUUCUCAUAAGAAAUUGAAAAACUUUUCCUUAACCACGGACAAAAAUUUAUUUUGAAACAUUAAAUCAAUUUACUCUCACUUUCAAUAAAAUAAAUUAUGACACUUUUACCGACAAACGAAAGCAAAUCUUGUUACCUGAUGUCGCUUCAAAAUAAAGAAUGACAACCUUUCUCACAUAAGAUGAAUAUCCCAAUAACAAAAGCAUUCAUGUUUUGUCUACGUUAAUUUGUCAACUCUAUGUGAGAAAACUUGACAACUCUUCAAGAGAAAGUGUCAUCAAAGUAACUUUUUCUUUCAAACUAAUGUAUCGGAACAUAUUUACUUACUUGCUUAUUUUUCAAAUCUGGACACCGAAAAAAAUUAAUUGAAAACGAAAGAAGCAAGAAACUUAAAAUGAUAACAAAAGAAAUAUUUAUUUGCAGCAAGAAAAUCUAACCACAUUUUAUUUUAAGUUCAAACUACCGGGUG